rnacentral:rRNA from 1 species
CAGUAGCCGCGGUAAUACGUAGGGUGCAAGCGUUAAUCGGAAUUACUGGGCGUAAAGCGUGCGCAGGCGGUUUGUUAAGACAGAUGUGAAAUCCCCGGGCUUAACCUGGGAACUGCAUUUGUGACUGGCAAGCUAGAGUAUGGCAGAGGGGGGUGGAAUUCCGCGCGUAGCAGUGAAAUGCGUAGAUAUGCGGAGGAACACCGAUGGCGAAGGCAGCCCCCUGGGCCAAUACUGACGCUCAUGCACGAAAGCGUGGGGAGCAAACAGGAUUAGAUACCCCCGUAGUCCCUGUCUCUUAUAC